UACGUAGGGCGCAAGCGUUGUCCGGAAUUAUUGGGCGUAAAGAGCUCGUAGGCGGCCAGUUGCGUCUGCUGUGAAAUCCCGGGGCUCAACCCCGGGCGUGCAGUGGAUACGGGCCGGCUAGAGGCAGGCAGGGGAGAACGGAAUUCCCGGUGUAGCGGUAAAAUGCGCAGAUAUCGGGAGGAACACCGGUGGCGAAGGCGGUUCUCUGGACCGACACUGACGCUGAGGCGCGAAAGCGUGGGGAGCAAACAGG
rnacentral:rRNA from 1 species